ACAAUUGUCGAUGAUUAAUCUGCAAAACGCAUUUGAACGUUUCAGAUUAUCACCGCGUUUAAUCGCCACCGUGAGACUUCCCGGCAAACAAUUCAAGAGACUGUUACCUCUCUCAUGGAAGCUCGAUGGAGCUGGAGAUUUCAAUUUUGAUUUCAUCAUCAAUUGCAGAACCGGAAUCGCAUCCGCCGCUAAAACAGCUUGAGAUCUAGCCGUCUCCGUCGGCAUUGUUGUCCACGAUUGUCGCAACGUGUAGAUCGUGUCCAUCGCCGAAUCUCUCGCUUCUUGCUCGCCGGAUUUCAAAGCUCCGAUUAAGUGAGGGAUACAAGCGGUAGCUGCUUCCGACGAACGGAGUUUUGGAAACGUUGUGAGAAUCGUGUUUAGCGUUCUCACUAUUUCUACGUUUAUCGCCGUCGUUGUCCAAAACUCUCUCUCCAUCGCAUCUGCAUUGAAAUCAGUGAGUGUUUGAUUCUCAAUCCGAUCAUAAAUUUUGAAUUCGGAAUUGAAACUUACUUGUUAGAGAUUUGAUGAUUUCACCAGAGACGUAUUCUUGAAGUGUAUGAUUAGAGAAGAGAGAUUUGAUAAUUAGAGCUGCUUGUGUAGAAACUUGUGGAUUACUAGAUCUAAGCAUUUCCUGAACCCAAUAUACUCCACCAGCUUCAGCCAUAGCUUUACGACUUGUUCUACUAUGCAUUGCAAAGUUUUCCAAAGCACGCAUCACAACCAUUUGCAUUUCCUCGCUCGGUUCAUCUUCAAGCAAGCUGAUUAACGCACGACAUGCCACGGGCGAGUCCGUGGCUUUAGCGAGUCCUUCGUGUUGAGAGAUGUCACCUAGAGCCAUUGCUAUGAGAAUUUUUGCGGAUUCUGAUAUUGUGUCUGGGUCUAGUAUGUACUCUGAUAGAGGGGUAAGUACAAACUGACAUAUCUUUGUCUCUCUAACCUUUGGAUUGCGUAGUAUUAAUUCGAGUAAUCUUGCUGAGAGUUCUUCGCAGUGGUGUGAUCUUAGUAGAUCUAGUAAUGCGUCGAGUGCACUGGAUUCUGCCAUUUCUUGAACGCUUGACGAGUCUUGAUUCUCACGGAUGAUCAAUGCGUCGAUGGCUAAGAUCACUGUGCUUUCAGCUGUGGAGAACAACAUUUUUGACAGAACUGGUAUAGUCACCGUAAAGUAAUAGUGUUCUGGGUUGAUUCUGAGAAUGUUGCAGAGAAUGAAAGCUGCUGAUUCCCAUAGAUAUACAGGAAGCUGAGGAUCUUCGUCGAUGAUAACCUUGGAGAGCUCUUGAAUUCCUCCGGUAUCUGCUACCUCUUUUGGCCAUGUAACUGAAGAUCUCUCUAAACCCAUCAAUGCUAUCUCUUGUAAGUUUCUUACUCUGAUCCCUACCAGUUUCACUAGAGGAGCAAUGAGAUUUUUGGUUGUUAUCUCUUCUUGGAAACGUUGCAUUUCGAGUAGAGAGGUCAGUAGUAUUGUGGUUGCAUUUUUGACCGCUAUUGACUCGGACUCAAGCAGUGGUAUCAAAGGCAUAAUGAUUGUGGAAGAUGCAAUUUUCAAUGAUUCAAGAACCAUUGGCUUCUCCAAGAUGUUUGCUAUAGCUUGUAAACCACCGAGUUGACCUUGAAAAUCCAAGUCUUGUCUAAGCAAAAUCAAAAGGAGCGGUUGUACCAUUUUUAUAGCGUCUUGGCUUCGAGCUAUAACACCAACGUUCGUCAAAACUCUGAAAAGAUCUGCGAUUACAGAACACAAAGAACUUGGCGGCGAUUUGGAGAGUUGGCUAAUACAUUUCUCGAUUAUCCCCAUUUUAAUCAGAUCCAUUUUCCGGGGAGUAUUGUCUUUAGCCAUUUUCGUAAGACAAGAAAUUGCAGCCUCACUGAUCAGAUAGUUUUCGGAAGCCACAUAUCCGUAGAACAGGUUCACACAAUCAUGUUCUUCUGCAACCUCUACAAAUCUUUUGAUAUCCAAGAGUCUGUCUAGUGCAAACAUUCCGGCUUCUAUAGCUGUACUUUUUCCUGUUCGGAUAAGUGAUAUAAGGGAUACAAUGCAACAUGCGGCAGAUGUGCUUGUUCUCAAACCUUCAUUGGUAAAUAGAAAGCGGCAUAUCCUUGCAGCACUUGUCUUUGAUUCAAGCGAAGAACUAUCUAAAGACAAAAUUUUGUAGAUGUUGUCCAAUGGGUUUCCUUCAAGACUAGUAAGAAUAUCUGGCCUUGGAUUUAUUCCCAUAGUUAGCUUCACUAAAGCUGUUAGAGCAGCUACUCUCUCACUCUCUAACGUUGUAUUCAACAUUUCAAUAAGAGGAGAAAGUGCUUUCCAUGCUAAUUCAGAAUCUCUGAUGUGCUCAGAGCUAAACAGUUCACAGAGGACCCUUGCAGCAUUGUAGCGAGUACUUCUAGAAGCAAGAUGAAGAAUUCCUAUGAGCUGCUUCAUGGAACUUAUAGCUGUUUUAUGUCGUGUGAUUUCCGGGCUGCGAAAGAGUGAUUCUAACAGUUCAGAAACGGUAAUCUCUGUUGAAUCUUGAGGGCUCAAAGAAAGGUACUUUGCUAAAGCAUCUAGAGCUCCAGCUUCAGCGAUAAGUAAUUUACUUAAAUCGUCAUUGUCUGCAAUACGACGAAGAAGUCGAAUAGCCACUGGAAUGCCUCCAACUUUAUCUGCAUAUGGCUUCAAGAGAUUCACGAGCAAGGGAAUACAUUUUUUGUAAAAUAUCCAUCAAUCAUCUGCUCAGAUUGCAUGAAAGGUGCUAGCGUUUGCAAAAUAUUUUCUGUUGCUGGAGAUGAGACAACCUUUGGUUCCUGAGACAUAACAGCUAAAAAUGACAUAGCGAUCCAUUUUUCCUCGGAAUCAGAGGAAUUCUCCUACAAAAAUUAAAGAUAAUAAGUCAGCAAAACCAACACUUGCAGGAUUUAGAAGAAAAAGCUAAAGAGAGCAAGUAAGUAUACUUAUUUACCUGUGUGUUAGACUUGUUUCUUUGAAGAUUUUCUGCAAUAAUUUCAAGUCCAUUGCCUUCCAUGACAACAAGUCUGUUCGAAGGAUGAGAAGAGCAAAUAAUGGAGAGUAACCACAUAGAGGCGGUGCUUCCCAAGAUAGUAACUGGAUCAACCAUUUCAGAGUCAUCCAUCCUUAAGCACAAAUUGCUUGUAAUAAAAGAUCUUGGUCUUUGAAUUUCAAUUCCAUAUGAAGCAGAUUUAGAGUUCUGCUUUGACAUAUCAAGAAGAGUGUUUACUAAGGUUUUCAAAUACCCUGAUUGUUCAACCGCUUCCGCCCAUAAUGUAAUGUCGUUCUUUGCUGCGCACACAAGCAAGAUCGCUCCUCCAACUUUGAUUUCAGGACUUGAUGAGUUGAUUGUUCUGUUAGCCAAUGAAGAAAUUGAUUUUGAUUGUGUCACCAAAAGUCGACCUAACAAGAUAAAUUGUGUCUUGCAGAAACGAGACAAAAUCUCUAUUGCUUUAUCUUGCACCAAAGGAUGACCUUCAGCUAAACCGCGGACAAGAGAGUCUAAAUUUGAAGGAACUUCACCGAAUGCAGAAAAAGGGUUAUGUGACAAGUUAGCACCAUAUUUAGCUUUGGCUAGUAAAGAGAGUACUUCUAAGACGUCGAUGAAAGCGCUGUUGUUCAGUGUUCCCUCUCUCAGUACUCUGGUCAAAGCAGAAACAACGUCAUCGUUUAAUGCUUCAGCUGCAACAUUUGGGUCUGAAAGAAGGUUCGCAAGAGUGGACAUGGGAUUCUCUGUUGACUCGAUGGGGUUUGUUUUUGCUGACUUUAUCAAUGGUUUGAUCACUUCGACUUCUGGACCGGAUAAUUUCUUUGUUGCAGUUUUUUUCUUUGUUGGAUUAGAUAGAGAGCCCAAGGCAUGCGCUAACUGCGUUGCAACAGCGUGAGUGUUUCCGCUUAAAAGCUUUGUGCACGGAUUGUCAUCCUCAUCAAAUCCAAGACCACCACAAAGGUCUUUUCUUGAACUGAAUAGAUCAGCCAAGACAGAAGCUGCGUUCUCUUUCAUCUUCUCGUUUGAUGAGGCAAGUCUCUGGACAAGCGACCUCAAUCCAUUAUUCGCUGCGGAACCCUUGGUGACAAAUUCUUCCAAAGAAGCCGAUGCAAGAACAUGGCCUAGAACUCUAAUCAAAUGAGUCUUUGAUUUAGGAGCAUCUCCAAGAAACAAAGCCUGUACUUGCUCGAUAACACUUGGAUCAGCUGUUUUAAUCAGUUUCAAAAGCGUAUUUGCUGAGCUCUCUUGUGAUUUUGGUCCACCGUUCUUUAAAAGACCCAAAAGUGCAGGAAUAGCUCCUGCUUUCUCAACGCAGAGGCGGAUUUCUUCGCUGUGACAACAUAGGUUCAAAAUUACACGGACCGCAUCGUCCUUUGCUUUCUGAGAUACACCAGUCUCUAAUAUCUGCAAUAAUGGAGGAAUCCCACCUGCAGAAGUAACAGCCCAUCUACUUUCUUCGACAUUAUCGGUCAAGAUCGCUAAGAACUCAACAGACAGUUCUUGAUGUUGUUCGCUAGACAAACCAAGGUACGGUAUGAGGAUUUGUAUCCCUUCUCUCUUCCCAAUAGCAUCCCAAACAUCACCAUGCUUGCAUAAAUUUGACAAACAAGUAAUCAUCCGCUCACGUGGACCGUCCGUGGCCAAUAUUGUUAGACAGACUAAAACCCUCUUAGCGUCAACAUUGUUGAGUAGUUUUGAUAGAUCAACAUUUCCGAAUAGACUUUCCAUAGCCUCCAAGAUACGUUCGUGGAUCAAUUGAGUAUCCCGGGGCUUUAGUAGUUUCACUAGUAUUCCUUCUGUUAGUGUUGGAUCAAAAGCUUCUCUAGUAUCACCGCAACUUAGCUGAAAUUUUCUCAGAGCAUAAGCAAGAGCUCCAAGAAUAUCAGCGAUGGGCUCAGUGAGGCGUGGAGACAAAGAUAGCCCUCCAAGAUACACUAUCAAACCAGACAUUCCUCCGCAUAAGUUUGCUAAAGCUUGUGUCCCAUAACUUUGUAAGACGCGUUCAGUUUCCUCCUCCACUGACUCUUUAGAAGAUGCAACCACUGCGCUAAUAAGAAGGUGGAUCCCAUCUAAAUCUCUUGCCACAGUUAUAGCUUCUUCUGACUUUGAUGUGAUGGCUUCUAGAGCGUUGACUACACUGGCACGUACGAAAACACUAUUUUCUUCACCUAGAAGCUGAACCAGAACUUGCACAGCACCUGACUCUUCAACUUUUGAGAUACUGCUGGUAAAAAUCCUGAUAAGACGAGCUAAGAGAGAAGCUGCGUUUGAUUGAGAUACCGGGUUACUAGACUGGAGAAGCUUUAAGAUGAUAUCUACUCCGCCAUCUUCAAGUGUUAAUGCCCAAAACCCGUCUUUAUCACCGCAAAGAUUUCUCAAAGCUCCAACCAAAUGUCCUUCCACUGUCUUGUCCUGUUUUUUCCCCGUCUUUAAUUGAUCCCACAAACUCGGUACCACGCCUUCCGUGACAAAUAUUUUAGUACCUACAUUAUCACCAUCCAUUCCACACAAGGAAACUUCAUAUAUGGCCUCGGCUACAACUCUUUUUGCAUCCACAGAGUCAGACUUCAAAAGUGAUAGCAGCGGUGGGAUACAUCCGCCUAUCAGUAUCUUAGAACGAACGUUUUUGUCUUUGCAUAGAACGGUUAGGACUGAAGCGGAAUUGAGUUUUGCCAAGAGGGUUCCACUCCUAAGAAGUGAUAUAAAGGCAGGCAUGGCGUUCACAUUCUGGCUAAUGAUCUUUCUACAUUCCUUUUUACCCUUGGCUAAACCAAGAAGCCGAGCGGUGCUAAGCUCUUUCUCUUGCGCCGAUGAUUUCUUGGCAUGAAGCUGUUCGAUGAGACGUGUGAUUGUAACCGCUGCUUUCUCUGGAUCAUCCAUCUCAGACGUCAUUGUUUUAUUAUCGUCCCUGCACCCAAAAGCCCUCAAUUAUACAAAGAUAAAGAUAGCAAAGCAAAUAGUCAAAAAGUAUUGAAAGCAAUUCGAUACCUCAGCCGAGGAGAAGACACGGAAGGAGUCUCUUGGUCAUUCGUUGAGGAGGGAGGCAUUGACAUAUUCUCUUUUCUGAAGAAACUCCUUUAGAAAACAGAAACAAAAACAUUUAGCUAAAUGGAUUCAACAACAAAUCAAACUAAAGAUAGAAUCCUCUUGAUUUUGUAUUAUUGUCAUUUGGUGAUUAAGAGAUUUUUUUCCUGCCACAAUCAAAUGCACAAUUCAUUUACAAAAUUACCUUUUAUGCAAACGUUCUAUUACUCCUUUUUA
rnacentral:lncRNA from 1 species